rnacentral:rRNA from 1 species
AUUGAACGCUGGCGGCAUGCUUUACACAUGCAAGUCGCGCGGGCAGCAAUGUCAGCGGCGGACGGGUGAGUAACGCGUAGGAAUGUGUCUUGAGGUGGGGGACAACCCUGGGAAACUGGGGCUAAUACCGCAUGUGGCCUGAGGGCCAAAGCCGUGAGGCGCCUUGAGAGCAGCCUGCGUCCGAUUAGGUAGUUGGUGGGGUAAUGGCCUACCAAGCCUGCGAUCGGUAGCUGGUCUGAGAGGACGACCAGCCACACUGGGACUGAGACACGGCCCAGACUCCUACGGGAGGCAGCAGUGGGGAAUAUUGGACAAUGGGCGCAAGCCUGAUCCAGCAAUGCCGCGUGGAUGAAGAAGGUCUUCGGAUUGUAAAGUCCUUUCGGCGGAGACGAUGAUGACGGUACCCGCAGAAGAAGCCCCGGCUAACUUCGUGCCAGCCGCCGCAGUAACAC